GUUACUUGCAUGACCCCAAUAGAGGUUUCAGUUAUUACAUGAAGUAUACGAUCCUGUUGAAGACAUUAACUCCUAAACUUGUUUCAUCAGUCAUUGAUUCCUACAAGAUGAUGCUGUCGGCAGUCAAUUCUCUUCCAGAGAAGACUGAGCGAGCUUUAUAUCAGAUGCUGAUAAGGUCCCAGUUUGAUCAACGUGAAGAUCCCCAAAUUCUCUCAAUACAAGUGCAAUAUCUUCUUGGCUAAUCUUCCCCAUCUCUUUUAGCUUAUAGAUGAUGAAUUCAGGGGCACUGUAGAAUCAGAAAAAAAAUAAAAAUAAAGAAAAGAAAAAAAGUUAAAUAAAAAUAAAGAAAAGAAAAAAAGUUAAAUAAAAAUAAAGCUAUAUACAACAUGUUUAUGGUGACACCUGAAAUCUGAGGCUGGCAAACCUAUUGAUAAGAAGAUUGUUCCAACAAUCAUUAGCAGCAAAAGAAGGCCCCCAGUCAGAAGAAGCUUGUAUCGCACUUUAUAAGUUUUGAUCUCCUGUUCAUGAAAACGUAAAGCUUUAAAAACCAGUAUCUGUUGUUUCUCUACAAGGUAGUCUGCUGCAUUACAUAGAACUAGCCCAACGAGAGCCAUUCCUGCAAGCACGAAGGCACAAGCAAGUACUAUAGUGGGGAACACUAUUGGGGGCAAAAUCUAAAGCAAAGAAUAUAUGAAAAAGGUAAUCCCAACAGAGCAAGAAAACAUAACUUAGUACUUUUACGAUGACUGCCUUUUCUUGGAUAAUACCUUUACGACAUCCUUAAUGGCCCCUUCCUUUUGAAAGUAAUGUUAAGACAAAGAAAGAAGACUGGUAAAACUAAAAAAAAGACAGACUAAGAGCUUGCAGUAUUGGAAGGUUUAAAUUUUAUUUUAAGCAUAGGAAAGUAAACUUAAAAACAGUUUGAGCAGAGUACAGAGGCUUUUUAAUCAUAAAACCCUUCAAUUUUGAACACUUGGUAGUUACAACUCACACAUACACGGCAUAUAGUGGUUUCUUGCAUGACCCCCAUUAGAGCUUUCUAUUUUUACAUGAAGUAUACGAUCCUUUUAUCCUAUUAACUUUUUAAAACUUGAUUCAUCAGUCAUUGAUCCGUACAAAGUGAUGCUGUCGGCAGUCAAUUCUCUUCUGGAGAAGACUGAGCGAGCUUUAUAUCAGAUUUUGAUAAGGUCCCAGUUUGAUCAACGUCAAGAUCCCUAAAUUCCCUCAAUACAAGUG
rnacentral:lncRNA from 1 species